rnacentral:rRNA from 1 species
AACGGCCGCGGAAACCUGACCGCGCGAAGGUAGCAUAAUCACUUGUUCUUUAAAUAGGGACCAGUAUCAACGGCAUCACGAGGGUUGCACUGUCUCCUCCAUCCAAUCAGUGAAACUGAUCUUCCCGUGAAAAAGCGGGAAUAAAAAUAUAAGACGAGAAGACCCCAUGGAGCUUUAAACCCACAGCAACUCAGUAACAUAACCCUUUAUAGCCCACAGAGAAAUGCACGUCGGUUUUAGGUUGGGGUGACCGCGGAGUAAAAAUUAUCCUCCACGACGAAAAGAACUAAAUCUUUAUCCAAGAGUUACAAUUCUAAGAAUUAGUAUACUAACGAACAAUGACCCAAUUAUUGAUCAACGAAACAAGUUACCCUGGGGAUAACAGCGCAAUCUACUUCAAGAGUUCCUAUCGACAAGUAGGCUUACGACCUCGAUGUUGGAUCAGGGUAUCCCAGUGGCGCAACCGCUACUGAAGGUUC